GGUGGGGGAGAGCAGAUGACCGGGCUUGGAAUCCCACCUCAGUCCUUACAUGACUCCGUGAAGCUGCGGUGAGCCUCAGUUUUCUCUCCUGUAGAGCGGAGACGCCUGUACCUUCUCAGGCAGGGCGGGGACCAGAUGGAAGCUAGAAAACUUGGGUCACAAGCUUGUGGUGUGGAGUUCACUGGUUGGGGCACCAGGACAGGACUAAGUUGCAGGGGACAAACAUGAGGAAAGAGAACGCACCGCCACCAGUUUCUCAAGGCCCCGAUGAGGUGUGUGUUACUUUUAGUUUUCCUGAUGAAAAAAAUGAAGUUCAAAAAAGUUGUCUAGGGCUUCCCUGGUGGAGCAAUGGUUGAGAGUCCGCCUGCUGACGCAGGGGACAUGGGUUCGUGCCCCGGUCCGGGAAGAUCCCACAUGCCGUGGAGCGGCUGGGCCCGUGAGCCACGGCCGCUGAGCCUGCGUGUCCGGAGCCUGUGCUCCCCAACGGGAGAGGUCACAACAG